UGCGAGUGGCUAACUCAAGCA
rnacentral:piRNA from 1 species